CUUAUAACGUCUAUUAAAAAAAAAAAAAAGUAAAAUUUCCUUUUUUGUUUUGGGAGAGUAACAACAAAAACACAUCUGACUAUAAAUAAGACUCCUCCCUCUCUACUCAUCUCGAUGAUUCAGAACCGAUUUUGAGAUGAUAACAGAGACCCAAACAACAACAAUGAUCAGUUUGAAUAACGAUGAAGAGGAAGAAGACUCACACUGCCACGACCCAUAAGUGUUAGACUGAUUUGACGACGGUCAAGUAAAAAAGAUCAGAGAUGGUUUGAAGAGUGAUGAAGAAGACGACUCGACUCAGACUGCUUAAGGUUUUGUUUGUUGUUUGAUGAUGAUGAUGAUGCCUUUUUCUAGUCUUCAUCACUUUAGAACAGACUGAUCAAUAGCUUAAUGAAUCUGUUUUGUUAAUCAUCUAGCAGAUCCAGAGAGAUAUAUGGUUUGAAGAAUGAAUGCAAGUUUCAUUAUAAAAACUUGGCCGAGGGGCGUGCUCACGGUUCUGACCAUGAUCGGAGGUAUGUGGUUUGGUUUGAAGAAUGAAGUUCCUUUUCCUCCGAUUGAGAAAAAUGCUCUGUUUUCUCUAUCACUUUGAAUAACGAUGAAGAAGUAGACUCAGACUGGUUAAGGAAUUUCAUCUUUAAAUACUGACAAGGGAGGGCUAAGUAACCAGCCAGCAUACAGAGAGACAUCUUCAAUUGCUUUAACGAAAGAAGUGUCUAAUAAGCAGAUCAGUUUGAAUAACGAUGAAGAGGAAGAAGACUCACACUGCUUACGGUUUUGUAUCUAUCAUCAACACCACAAUCCGUAAGUGUUAGACUGAUUUGACGACGACCAAGUAAAAAGAUAUGUGCAGAUCAGAGAUGGUUUGAAGAAUGGUGAAGAAGACGACUCAGACUGCUUAAGGUUUUGUUUGUUGUUUCAGCUUCUCUAGAGAUGGAGAUAAUAUAUGGCUCCCUUUCCUUCGGUGGAAAAAAUCCUCGUCUUGUUCUAUCGGAGAUAUAUGGUUUUAUGAAUGAAGUGCCUUUUCCUCCGAUGGAGAAAAAUGGUCUUUUUUUCUCUGAACUACAUCUUCAAACAAUGGCAAGGACUAACCAGCAUGCAUGAGUCAUCUUCAAUAGCUUCAACGGAAGUUUCUAAGCAGAACAAUGAUUGGAGGCCUCACCUUACUGAACGAAGGAGCCAUCUUCAAUAGCUUCAACGGAAGUUUCUAAGCAGAACAAUGAUUGGAGGCCUCACCUUACUGAACGAAGGAGCCAUCUUCAAUAGCUUCAACGGAAGUUUCUAAGCAGAACAAUGAUUGGAGGCCUCACCUUACUGAACGAAGGAGCCAUAUGCUGCAAAAAAUGCUAAGAGCUUGUCUUUAUAAAGCAAAAACUACUGCGUAACUUGAGCAACAAAAAGGCAGCAAAGUUCAAAGCACUACCUUUGAACAAGAAGGUAGAAGGUUGUGAAGAACAGCAAAAGCUGCGGAGCAUGUUUCUUAUGGAUUCUGUGAAAGAGACUAUCAAUUUUGGCUAUGGUCGUACUGUUGACAUUCCUCUUGACCUACUACCGCGAUUUGGUAUACAGGAUUUGAAGAAGCAAGAGAAUGAGCUUCCAAGCCAAAGAAGCUGAGCUCAAACGACGAAAGCAGGCUGUUGCGAUUGAAGGAAUCAUGCCAGCUAAUGCAAAAACUAUUACCUUCAGCUCAAUCUGGAGAAGAGCCCUUCCCUGAGUGUCUUCGAGCAUGAUAGAAAG